UUUUUGAGAGCUGAAUAGCAAUAAACUUUUAAUUUAUUAAUUAGAUAAAA
rnacentral:tRNA from 1 species